rnacentral:lncRNA from 12 species
CGGGCUUUGGUGCCAGGCUCAGCUGGGAGGUUGUUUUAAGCCGGGUUUAAGGAGGAAGGCAGCAAGGUGACCUCUGGUGACACCAUGUGAGUGGCUGGCACUGAGCUGCGGGGCCCAGCAGGAACUCCCGGGUUUCCACUCAGCAAUCGCUGUUCUUUCCAGGAGGAAAUGUGGGAAUGAGGGAAUUUCUGGGGCUGUGUGGAGUUGCUCGUGGGCCUGAUCCAAGUGGCUCAAAUAGAAACACCCCCCAUUAAUACCAUUAAUACCAUUAAUAACCCUUUCUUUUCCAGUCUGUUGGGAUGGUUAUGGGGAAUUUCAAACGCUGGGUUUCCCUGAGGGUUCCCACAUCAGUGCAGGUGUGGGAGCGCUGAUCUCUGCUCCCAGGGAGUGGCUGCAGGGGUUUGGGGUGGAUUUUGGGGAAAAAUUGUCCCUGCAGAGGGUGCUGGGGUGGGAUAUUUGGGAUGGGGGGAUGUUCUGAGCUCUCCCUGUCCCUGUAGAGGGUGCUGGGCUGUGUUUGGGGUGGGAUAUUUGGGAUGGGGGGAUGUUCUGAGCUCUCCCUGUCCCUGCAGAGGGUGUUUGGGGUGGGAUAUUUGGGAUGGGGGAUGUUCUGAGCUCUCCCUGUCCCUCAGUUCCGCUGCUGCUCCCGGGCUCUGGCCAGGCCUGUGUCCAUGGCUGUGUUCAGCAGGCCUGAGGCUCAGACUGCACAGGUGUCCCCGCCUGUCCCCUGAGUGUCCCCUGAGUGUCCCUUUCUGUCCCCU